UGGGGAAUAUUGCACAAUGGGCGCAAGCCUGAUGCAGCCAUGCCGCGUGUAUGAAGAAGGCCUUCGGGUUGUAAAGUACUUUCAGUCGGGAGGAAGGUGGUAAGGUUAAUAACCUUAUCAAUUGACGUUACCGACAGAAGAAGCACCGGCUAACUCCGUGCCAGCAGCCGCGGUAAUACGGAGGGUGCAAGCGUUAAUCGGAAUUACUGGGCGUAAAGCGCACGCAGGCGGUUGAUUGAGUCAGAUGUGAAAUCCCCGGGCUUAACCCGGGAGUUGCAUCUGAUACUGGUCAGCUAGAGUCUUGGAGAGGGGGGUAGAAUUCCAUGUGUAGCGGUGAAAUGCGUAGAGAUGUGGAGGAAUACCGGUGGCGAAGGCGGCCCCCUGGACAAAGACUGACGCUCAGGUGCGAAAGCGUGGGGAGCAAACAGG
rnacentral:rRNA from 1 species